AUUGAACGCUGGCGGCAGGCCUAACACAUGCAAGUCGAGCGGAUGAAGGGAGCUUGCUCCUGGAUUCAGCGGCGGACGGGUGAGAAAUGCCUAGGAACCUGCCUGGUAGUGGGGGAUAACGUCCGGAAACGGGCGCUAAUACCGCAUACGUCCUGAGGGAGAAAGUGGGGGAUCUUCGGACCUCACGCUAUCAGAUGAGCCUAGGUCGGAUUAGCUAGUUGGUGGGGUAAAGGCCUACCAAGGCGACGACCCGUAACUGGUCUGAGAGGAUGAUCAGUCACACUAGAACUGAGACACGGUCCAGACUCCGACGGGAGGCAGCAGUGGGGAAUAUUAGACGAUGGGCGAAAGCCUGAUCCAGCCAAGCCGCGUGUGUGAAGAAGGUCUUCGGAUUGGAAAGCACUUUAAGUUGGGGGUAAGGACAGUAAGUUAAUACCUGGCUGUUUUGACGGUACCAACAGAAUAAGCACCGGCUAACUUCGUG
rnacentral:rRNA from 1 species